CUAGACCCCACUAGACAGUGUGCUAAACCCUUUUUCUUUAAUGAUUUGUGAUCUUCACUGGUAUUCAUGGAUUACAUAUAAUCCUCUUUACCUUUAUCCACCUUUGUCAUGGUAGGGAUAACACGUCAAUGUAAGGGUGGGGUCAUAGGGGAUAGACAAUUUUAGAAUUGUCAAUUAACCCAUAAAGCCUGAUUUUGGACUUUGAGAGGAAAUCAGAGUGCCUUCAAACCAAGGCCUUCUCAUUGUAAGGCAAGUGGGCCAACCACUACUCCUCAGUGUGGUCUGAGCAAAGCAGUUUUUCUUCUUCUUCUUUUUUUUUGCAGAAAAUGUAAUUUGGUGUAAUGAAUAAAACCUUUGGUUUCGAUUUGGGAGGACAACAUAAAUAUAUACUUACUGAUAAAGAGAAGUAAUCUUAACAAAAUACCUGAAAAAGACUAUUUUCCAGUUCUCUCUUUUAAUGACAAAGCUGUACUUUUCAAUCCUGCAUACAGACUUUUUGAACAUACACCUGUAAAGCAAUUCAUAUACAUCAGUAUUUUCUGUUUUCUGUAAAAAUGAUUGGCAAUGGAACAUUUGUAUGAUGAGGGGGUAAUUGUACCUACUCCUAUUUAUCAAAGAAAUAGAGUGAUUGCACUACAUUGUGGCUACACACCCUUCCCUAGUGCCACAUAAGCAACCUAAUUGUCGUGCCACUUCCCAUUACACACGUCAUUCUUCUUGCCAUGCUCCUGUGCCCAUGUGCCAGUGCAGCUGCUCAUAUGCAGGUGGAAGGUAAUGACAGGACAGGGUGUCACGUACCUGCCUUUGUAUCUUUUUAAAAAGAACUGCUAAAAAUACAUAAACGGUUUCAGUAAAAGUUCGUUAAAAUAUGCUUGGAUUAUUGUGAUGACAAUUUGUGCACAUCUCCUAAGUCUGUGAGAUAAGCGAUUAUUGAUGCAAGCAACUAAAAUUUUUUAAUAAUUUGUUUUACAUUUUUUGACCAUGAGCACAUUGUACUUAAUGCUGUUUUACAAAAACCAUAUUGGGGUUUUUCCCCCUUCCUACAGGAAAAUUAAAGUAAGUUUAAAUCCAAAGACCAUGAGCAAGAACAACUGGAAUUUGGCAUCUAUCUAUGUUGAAAUACUAUGGGAGAAAACAGUAUAUAAAGCCAGAUAUUUAAGCAUUCCACUAAGCAUAAUAUAGAGGAACCCAUAUCCACUUUGGUGGCAAUUUUUAGCCUCUUCUUUAUUCCUGAGAUCAUAAACUUGACAACUUCUCCACCUAUAGGUGCUGGGUGGACAAACAGACAAUGGCCUUUCAGGGUUGAACCAAAGAGAGCAGGAAAGAGGAGUCUGAAACCCUGACCUAACGAUCUCACGUCCUGGAAGCUGGAUCCUGUCAAGACACAAGCGAUACUACUGAUGAAAGAAUUGCCUCAAGCAGCUAGAGAGACAAAAGAACCUCCUCCUGCAACUGUGACCCUAAAAUCAAUGCUUUCAUUUAUGGUCCACCGCCUUCAAUCAAUUCUGCCCCAUCUCCCCUUUACUGUGAGGCGCUCCAUGAGAACUGGACACAUGUAAAUGACCUCCGGCUUAAAUGCAAACAGGACCCAAGUGAACCUCACCUACAGGUACACUUCCUUCAUUAUACCAAGGCAAAUACUAUAUGGGCUCAUUGAUUAUGACUGAUUCUUCCUGUUGGGGGAAAAAAGGAAGACAAGAAUGCUGUCUGUGGCAGAAAGACAGAAAAAAGAGGGGAGAAAAGGAAACAGAAUUGUGCAAUGAGAUUGCUGACCAAAAA